AGUCGAACGGCAGCACGGAGCUUGCUCUGGUGGCGAGUGGCGAACGGGUGAGUAAUAUAUCGGAACGUACCCUAGAGUGGGGGAUAACGUAGCGAAAGUUACGCUAAUACCGCAUACGAUCUAAGGAUGAAAGUGGGGGAUCGCAAGACCUCAUGCUCGUGGAGCGGCCGAUAUCUGAUUAGCUAGUUGGUAGGGUAAAAGCCUACCAAGGCAUCGAUCAGUAGCUGGUCUGAGAGGACGACCAGCCACACUGGAACUGAGACACGGUCCAGACUCCUACGGGAGGCAGCAGUGGGGAAUUUUGGACAAUGGGCGAAAGCCUGAUCCAGCAAUGCCGCGUGAGUGAAGAAGGCCUUCGGGUUGUAAAGCUCUUUUGUCAGGGAAGAAACGGUGAGAGCUAAUAUCUUUUGCUAAUGACGGUACCUGAAGAAUAAGCACCGGCUAACUACGUGCCAGCAGCCGCGGUAAUACGUAGGGUGCAAGCGUUAAUCGGAAUUACUGGGCGUAAAGCGUGCGCAGGCGGUUUUGUAAGUCUGAUGUGAAAUCCCCGGGCUCAACCUGGGAAUUGCAUUGGAGACUGCAAGGCUAGAAUCUGGCAGA
rnacentral:rRNA from 1 species